GGCGUUAUGGUCCAGUGGUAAGAUGCGUGCUUCGGGAGCACGUGACUCGAGUUCGAUUCUCGAUAACGCCC
rnacentral:tRNA from 2 species